UCUCCGUAGGUGAACCUGCGGAGGGAUCAUUACUGAGUGAGGGCUCACGCCCGACCUCCAACCCUUUGUGAACACAUCUUGUUGCUUCGGGGGCGACCCUGCCUUUCGGGCAGUGCGCCCCCGGAGGCCUUCAAACACUGCAUCUUUGCGUCGGAGUUUAACACAAAUGAAACAAAACUUUCAACAACGGAUCUCUUGGUUCUGGCAUCGAUGAAGAACGCAGC
rnacentral:misc_RNA from 1 species